rnacentral:tRNA from 1 species
UACAUUUUAGUAUAUGAUGUACAAUAAUUUUUGGAAUUAUAGGAAAUAGUUUGAUUCUAUUAGGUGUAA